UAAUACGAAGGGGGCAAGCGUUGCUCGGAAUCACUGGGCGUAAAGGGCGCGUAGGCGGACGUUUAAGUCAGGGGUGAAAUCCCGAGGCUCAACCUCGGAAUUGCCUUUGAUACUGAAUGUCUCGAGACCGGAAGAGGUAAGUGGAACUGCGAGUGUAGAGGUGAAAUUCGUAGAUAUUCGCAAGAACACCAGUGGCGAAGGCGGCUUACUGGUCCGGUUCUGACGCUGAGGCGCGAAAGCGUGGGGAGCAAACAGGAUUAGAUACCCUGGUAGUCCACGCCGUAAACGAUGGAUGCUAGCCGUUGGCGAGCUUGCUCGUCAGUGGCGCAGCUAACGCUUUAAGCAUCCCGCCUGGGGAGUACGGUCGCAAGAUUA
rnacentral:rRNA from 1 species